UCGAGCUCCGUGCCGGGAGCCGCGGGAAUACGGGGGGGGCAAGGUUGGUUCGGAAUUACUGGGCGUAAAUGGCUCGUAGGCGGCCAACGAAGUCAUACGGUAAAUCCCUCGGCUUAACCGGGGAACUGCGUCUGAUACUGGAUGGCUUGAGUUCGGGAGAGGGAUGCGGAAUUCCAGGUGUAGCGGUGAAAUGCGUAGAUAUCUGGAGGAACACCGGUGGCGAAGGCGGCAUCCUGGACCGAUACUGACGCUGAGGAGCGAAAGCCAGGGGAGCAAACGGGAUUAGAUACCCUAGUAGUC
rnacentral:rRNA from 1 species